rnacentral:rRNA from 1 species
UCCGGUUGAUCCUGCCGGACCCUACUGCUAUCGGGGUGGGACUAAGACAUGCAAGUUGAGCGUCUCUAAGCUAUGGUAGAGACGCGGCAUACGGCUCAGUAACACGUGGCCAACCUACCCUUAGGACGGGGACAACCCCGGGAAACUGGGACUAAUAUCCGAUAGAUUAGGAGGCCUGGAAUGGUUCUUAGUCGAAAGGGCUUUGAAACCAUGCUUUUCAACGUCGCCUAAGGAUGGGGCCGCGCCCGAUCAGGCUGUUGGUGGGGUAAUGGCUCACCAAACCUAUAACCGGUGCGGGCCGUGAGAGCGGGAGCCCGGAGAUGGGCACUGAGACAAGGGCCCAGGCCCUACGGGGCGCAGCAGUCGCGAAAACUCCGCAAUGCGCGAAAGCGUGACGGGGCUACCCCGAGUGCCGUCCGCUGAGGAUGGCUUUUCCCCGGUGUAAUGAGCCGGGGGAAUAAGGAGAGGGCAAGUCUGGUGUCAGCCGCCGCGGUAAUACCAGCUCUCCGAGUGGUAGGGACGAUUAUUGGGCUUAAAGCGUCCGUAGCCGGCUUAGCAAGUCUCCUGUUAAAUUCAGCGACCUAAUCGUUGAGCCGCGGGAGAUACUACUAGGCUAGGAGGCGGGAGAGGCCGACGGUAUUCUCGGGGUAGGGGUGAAAUCCUAUAAUCCCGGGAGGACCACCAGUGGCGAAGGCUGUCGGCUAGAACGGGCUCGACGGUGAGGGACGAAAGCUGGGGGAGCGAACCGGAUUAGAUACCCGGGUAGUCCCAGCUGUAAACGAUGCGGGCUAGGUGUUGGGGUGGCUACGAGCCACUUCAGUGCCGCAGGGAAGCCAUUAAGCCCGCCGCCUGGGGAGUACGGCCGCAAGGCUGAAACUUAAAGGAAUUGGCGGGGGAGCACCACAAGGCGUGAAGCUUGCGGUUCAAUUGGAUUCAACGCCGGG